rnacentral:rRNA from 1 species
CCUACGGGAGACAGCAGUGGGGGAUAUUGCACAAUGGGGGAAAGCCUGAUGCAGCGACGCCGCGUGAGUGACGAAGGAUUUCGGUAUGUAAAGCUCUAUCAGCAGGGAAGAAAAUGACAGUACCUGACCAAGAAGCCCCUGCUAACUACGUGCCAGCCGCCGCAGUAAUACGUAGGGGGCAAACGUUAUCCGGAUUUACUGGGUGUAAAGGGAGCGUCUCCGGUUAUGUAAGUCUGGAGUGAAAGCCCGGGGCCCAACCCCGGGACUGCUUUGGAAACUGUGUAACUGGAGUACAGGAGGGGUAGGCGGAAUUCCUGGUGUAGCGGUGAAAUGCGUAGAUAUCAGGAGGAACACCGGCGGCGAAGGCGGCCUGCUGGACUGAAACUGACGUUGAGGCUCGAAAGCGUGGGGAGCAAGCAGGAUUAGAUACCCCUGUAGUC